GAUACAGGCUAGCGGCGGACGGGUGAGUAACACGUGGGUAACCUGCCCAAGAGAUCGGGAUAACACCUGGAAACAGAUGCUAAUACCGGAUAACAACAGAUGAUGCCUAUCAACUGUUUAAAAGAUGGUUCUGCUAUCACUCUUGGAUGGACCUGCGGUGCAUUAGCUAGUUGGUAGGGUAACGGCCUACCAAGGCGAUGAUGCAUAGCCGAGUUGAGAGACUGAUCGGCCACAUUGGGACUGAGACACGGCCCAAACUCCUACGGGAGGCAGCAGUAGGGAAUCUUCCACAAUGGACGCAAGUCUGAUGGAGCAACGCCGCGUGAGUGAAGAA
rnacentral:rRNA from 1 species